GAAUACAACAAUCAAUAUAUUAUUUUUAAUUAUUCCUUGCAAUGAUUGUCAUAAUGUUGAUUCGAAUUAUUACCAAAUAAAACCAAAUUUCGAAAAUAUUCCAAAGUGAUCUGUCCUGCAUUAAUAUUAAUGGAUUAUGGGCAUUUUUCCAAGAAAAUCAAAUCUUUUCCUUUUCAUUUUUUCACGUGCACCCCCCUUUUUUUUUGUUUUCUUUUGCUUUUUUCUUUGUCUUUUUUUUUUUUUUGUUUUCUCGUUUUUUUUUAUCCUCUUCUUCCUUUUUUUUUAUUUUCUUUUUUUUUGUUUCUUCUUUUUUCUUUAUUUUUCUUUUUUUCUGUUUCUUUUCAUUUUCUUUUAUUUUCUUUUUCUUUUUUUUUUAUUUUUUGCUUUUUCUUUUCUUUUUUAAAAAAACUAAAUAAAUAUUAAAAUAACAAAAUAACAAAAAUAAAUAAAUAAAUAAAUAAAUAAGACAACAAUAAAGAUCAAGUUCUAUUAUUUAGUCACCCGGACGAAAUUGGGUGUUGACAAUAUGCAUGUUCAAAUCAAAAGGUCUUUUAUGGGUGAAAUGGGGGCCAAGGAAAAGGGAGGAUAACAUAUGGAUGAGAAGCUACAAACCAAAGGAAAUAGAGGAGCAAUAGGGAACAAGUGUAAACACAGUAUACUCACACCCAAAACCUCUAAUUCCAUCCUCUUCUUGACUCCAUUAUUCACAAAAUUUUUUUAUUUUUCUCUAUUUAUUUAUUUUUUCUUUUUCUCAUCCUGUCUCUUUCUUCUUCUUCUUCUUCUUCUUCUUCUUCUUUU
rnacentral:lncRNA from 1 species